rnacentral:misc_RNA from 1 species
AAAAAAAAAAGAAAAACUUUUAGACACCAAAUUACCAAGAUAAAUUGCCAUAAGACUUUCAUCAAGUCCCCAUCUAACUAAGCAAUCAUGUUCACCGUCCCCUACCCUAAAUCAAAAUCUUCUCAAUGUUAUCACACACCCUAACAAGUAUCCUAAACAAAGAAAAAAGAUGGCAAAAGCUAGAAAAGCAAGCUUGGAUGAGAUCAACAAUCCAAACACGUAGAAGUCUUUUGAACUAUAAGAUCUCAAAAGGUAGAUAAGAACCUCUCCCGUAGAAAAUCCCUAUGGAAUAUGGAUUAUUAUCCAUUAUUCAAAAUAAAGAUGAACGGAUGUUAAGGAAUGCCCCUCCAUUCCCCAAGUAUCUUUUCUUCAAUUAAUAAUAAAAACCUCCGAUACUUGAACUCACCAAUUUGCCAUGCCAUGCCAUGCCAUACCUAUGUCAACACAACACGACACGAGAUACGACAUGGAAUUUGUUUGACACAUAUCCAUGAAGUUGGACAUGCCUAUGAGAGAGACAAGAUGAAGGGAGCGCUUACUAGCAAAAGUGUAGAUUCAUGAAAAGUUUGCAACCUAAAAUAGCAUUGAGAGAGAGAGA